GGCUGGGCAGCGACAUUCAAAUGUCUCUUCGGUGCAAACCACAGGCUAACAAAAGGGAGACAGCAGGGCAAGCUCUUCUGCAGAAGGCCCAGCUCACCGAUACCAAAGGUUCCUCCAAGACAACACUGAAGAGUCCCCAGCAGCAACGCAAGGAACCCAGCUUGACCCCUGAUCACUUGGAGCUCCGAGAUGCAAGGAGUGACAC